rnacentral:rRNA from 1 species
CAGCCGCCGCGGUAAUACGAAGGGUGCAAGCGUUAAUCGGAAUUACUGGGCGUAAAGCGUGCGUAGGCGGUGAGUUAAGUCUGCUGUGAAAUCCCCGGGCUCAACCUGGGAAUGGCAGUGGAUACUGGCUCGCUAGAGUGUGUCAGAGGAUGGUGGAAUUCCCGGUGUAGCGGUGUAAUGCGUAGAGAUCGGGAGGAACAUCAGUGGCGAAGGCGGCCAUCUGGGACAACACUGACGCUGAGGCACGAAAGCGUGGGGAGCAAACAGGAUUAGAUACCCGCGUAGUCCCUGUCUCUAUACA